rnacentral:lncRNA from 1 species
GGUGACCUCGCCGCCGACGACACCGCCGGUGGCAGCGGCGAAAAGAUGGACAGAGAGAAGGGAAGUCAAGUAAAAAAAACUUUAUUUAUUGUCUUCUUAGUUAAUUUAUUUCAAAGAAAUAGAAAGGAAAUAGAUUGAUUUUCUAGACUUAUUUUCGAUUAACGAACAAAAGAAGAUUUCGACUAACUUGUUGGAGAAGAUCGGCCAAAAAAGGAGAAA